rnacentral:rRNA from 1 species
AUGAGAGUUGGAAAUACCCGAAGCCUGUGAGCUAACGAAAGGGGCAGCAGUCGAAGGUAGAAUCAAUGAUUGGGGUGAAGUCGUAACAAGGUACC